rnacentral:rRNA from 1 species
UGGGGAAUAUUCCGCAAUGGACGAAAGUCUGACGGAGCAAUGCCGCGUGAGUGAUGAAGGCCUUUGGGUCGUAAAACUCUGUCUUUGGGGAUGAAACCAUUAUGUGCUAAUACCACAUAGUAUUGACAGUACCCGAGGAGGAAGCCCCGGCUAACUACGUGCCAGCAGACGCGGUAAUACGUAGGGGGCGAGCGUUGUCCGGAAUCAUUGGGCGUAAAGGGCGUGUAGGCGGUUUUGUAAGUCAGAUGUGAAAGCUUGAGGCUCAACGUCAAGCCUGCAUCGUAAACUACAUCACUUGAGGGCAGGAGAGGAAAGGGGAAUUCCAUGUGUAGCGGUGAAAUGCGUAGAUAUAUGGAAGAACACCAGUGGCGAAGGCGACUUUCUGGACUGAACCUGACGCUGAGGCGCGAAAGCCAGGGGAGCGAACG